rnacentral:tRNA from 1 species
GGGGUUGUGGCUCAGCGGUAGAGUGCUCGCCUUGCAUGUGAGAGGUCCUGGGUUUGAUUCCCAGCACCACA